AAAUAAUGUGGACAGUGAAGGACGGCUUCCGUCAGCAAGAUCAUCUUCACUAGCCUCCAUAUUGAGCUGAUCAUACUCAGUGGAUACACGUGGUAACUCCUCGCUCAUAGUGUCCAUGAUUACUUGCCCAAGAACAAACCGGACCUCACCAGGGUGCCCAUCCUUCAGUAACUUAUAAUCAAUUUCCUGCAUCCCUCUUGUCCCUUCAUAUGAAGUUAAGUCAGUAUCAAGGCCCUCAAAUAUUCUCAACACUCUCUCCCUCUCUCUGCUAGAUACAAUUACCAGUCCUGAAACUUGUGAAGCCUUUGAGUAUUUGGCCAGUGAUUGUUGGAGAGCAUCUAUAGAUGUCAACGUAUCAACUGACGACUUGACUAGUGAUGCUAAAUGUGAUGUUUGUUCCAUGAGAUUCUCCAGUUUGCUCCGAGAAGGCCCUAGUGUUUCUGGAAUAAACGGGGCUGGUGCUCCAAUGUCUUGAUUCAAGAAGUUGACUGCGCCCUCCCAUGAUCCAAAAUACAUUAGUGCAGCAAAAGCCCUGAUUACCUGGGCAUCAUGUGGAGAAUUUACCAAUGCACUGUGAAAUGUCAACAUUUCUUACCACAAACAGGAGGGGCAUGGCUGAUCAGCAGAGAGUAAUUUAUCAAGAUUAGCCAGUAGUUUCUGCACAUUACCACAAGCAUGACUCUACUUACGCAAUGGCAUGAUCGCAUUGCUCAACCUACCUGGAAAGGCAGCAAAAAAUCGAGAAGUCCAUAUUUUCUAAGUAACCUAAGAGAAGAAGCUGCUGCCCCAUAAGACAAUAAAUAAUUCAAUUCCAUCAUUAAUCUUGCCUUGUCAAUAUCUGUUAUGGACAAAGAAAGUUCCCGUAUUGCAGCAGAAGUUUCACUGGAGAACUCAAAACCAAGGCGAGCAGCAAUUCUCAAGCCACGCAAAAUCCUGGCUGAAAUAAACCAGAAUCUAAAUUUUCUAUGAACCAAGCUAAUUGUUACCUUGUUUUUGCUAAUAUCCCUUACUCCAUUCACAUAAUCAUAAAUCUUAAAAUUUUAUUCAGAAGAUUACCUGUUUAUUGUAAAGUCUCUUUUCAUAGAAUUCUGCCAGAGAAGAAUAUCCCCCUCAUCAUAACGUUUAAACUCCUCUGAACAUCCUAUAUUUUUACUUCCUUUCACAUGAUUUGCAUUCGUGCUAAAGCUAGAAACCUCAACGUCUGUCAACUUAGCUUUUUUUUUUCUUUUGCUUUUAUCCAGAAAAUGAACACUUAUGACAAAUUAAUGCACCAAAACCUGCUGGAGGCUUGCGGUAGUAAUCACAUCAAAAUCUUUAGGUGCCCUUUUCAGUAGCAAAUCUCUCACGCAUCCCCCAACAAGAUAAGCUGCAAACCCUGCAGUACAACUUUAAUAGAGACAGUCCAGGCAUGGCGAGGUAUAUCCCCUCUAGUAAUACCAACAACCCUCGAGUCAAAAUAUCUCCAUGAAGAAGAAUCAACAAAUCCUG
rnacentral:sRNA from 1 species